GAAAUUUAAUUUUUUAGUGACGUUUUUUCUAAAAACGCUGCAAGAAAAGGGGGAAAGAUGAGGGGGAAAGAUAUUUCAACAAAAAUAAUUAAAAUUAAAUCAACCAAAGAAAUCCCUAGAAGCCUAAAGAAAAGGGGGCGAAGAUGAGGCCGACGCCGAUGGAAUUCGUAAGGGACGCAGACGACCAAGGUUCAGCCAUGGAAGUCGACGGUGUUGACACACCGGAGAUCUUCCGCGAAGGCGUCAUCGCUUCGCCGAUUUCUUCAACAACUUCGAAGACGAUUUUGAUGACUCCGAUAUUGACUAAAAAAAUAAAGAAGAAUCGUUUGUACGUCUCUUCUCUUCUCUGUCUGUCUUUCUUUCUCUUCUUUGGCUUAGCCAUGUCUCUGCUUUCUCUAUAAUUUCCUUAGCAAAGAAGAGAAAGCAAAGAAAUCAAAGUAAACAAAUGAAAACCCGCCAAAAAAUUCAAAUCUCUUGUUAGUUUUUUUUUUUGGUGCGUGUGUGUGUGUGUGCGCAUUCAAAAAAAGCGAAUUAUUUUUGGGUUUUAAGCUGUUGAACGGUGAAGAAGAUGACGGUUGCAAAUAAUUUUGAUUUGUGGAAAAAAGAUGCCUUCUUUUCUGCAACAGAAGAGGUUCAAGAAUCUGCUGAUAUAUAUUGAAGGUGUAGUGGAGGAUUUAAUCUCUUCAAGCUAGAAAAGCCAAGGCUUAGCACUUUUUCAAGUAGAGUGUUAUUUAAUGUUGUAUUCCAUGGUCGUUUAUCUUAGUCGGAACUUGAAUUAGGUGUUAUUGAAACAGGGUUUUGUAACUACCUUGUGUACUAGCUUCUUUAAUCAUGAUUGUUAAUUAUUACGUAUUUUGUAGCUUCUUUUAUAUUUGGCCGAGUUAAUAUAGAUCAGAUGAGCUGUGAGGUAGAUUGUUCAUUUA